GCAUCUUUUACUGUCAGUUUGUUCAACUUGCGGGCAUCGAGGCAAAAGCGGUUCUUGCCCGGCCGUCGCACUAUGGUGGUGCGGUUACUCCACGGACUAUCGCCUACCUCGAUGACGCCAAGCGCCAGCAUGCUGUCCACCUCAUCCCACACAAUCUUCUGCAUAGCGGGUGAUAGAGGGUAGUGCCUGUCUUUCACUGGCUCUGCUCCGCUGACCAAUUCAAUACGCUUUUGUUGUUCAUUCAAUUCCCACAUAUCUGGUUCCGGCCUUACUUCAUCCUGGUCCGCAUAAUGCGCCACUCUAUCAGCUAGCAAUUCAUCGAAGACAAGUCUUUUAACGGCUGGCUUUUCCGGAGGAAUUAAUAGUGGUGCCAAAUUAAACAGCCGCCAAAAGUCGAUGCCGAAAUACGCGUUCUGUUCAAGUGAUGGGCAUACGUAAAAUUCCACUUCUUUGGUCUCCUCUCGAUACACCACUGUUCGAGACCGCGUUUGCCUAGCACGCUUACCGAGGCCCCGGUAUCCAGCAAACCGCGUAGCAC